UACGUAGGGCGCGAGCGUUGUCCGGAAUUAUUGGGCGUAAAGAGCUCGUAGGUGGCUUGUUGCGUCUGCCGUGAAAGCCCGUGGCUUAACUACGGGUCUGCGGUGGAUACGGGCAGGCUAGAGGCUGGUAGGGGCAAGCGGAAUUCCUGGUGUAGCGGUGAAAUGCGUAGAUAUCGAGAGGAACACCUGCGGCGAAGGCGGGUUGCUGGGCUGACACUGACGCUGACACUGCGAAAGCUAGGGGAGCGAACGGG
rnacentral:rRNA from 1 species